rnacentral:rRNA from 1 species
GAUGAACGCUAGCUACAGGCUUAACACAUGCAAGUCGAGGGGUAACGAGAGGAAAGCUUGCUUUCCUUGUCGACGACCGGCGCACGGGUGAGUAACGCGUAUCCAACCUGCCCCCAACUAGGGAAUAACCUUGCGAAAGUAAGACUAAUACCCUAUAAUUUCCUCAGAUGCCAUCUGACGAGGAAUAAAGAUUUAUCGGUUGUGGAUGGGGAUGCGUCUGAUUAGCUUGUUGGCGGGGUAACGGCCCACCAAGGCAACGAUCAGUAGGGGUUCUGAGAGGAAGGGCCCCCACAUUGGAACUGAGACACGGUCCAAACUCCUACGAGAGGCAGCAGUGAGGAAUAUUGGUCAAUGGGCGGAAGCCUGAACCAGCCAAGUAGCGUGCAGGAUGACGGCCCUAUGGGUUGUAAACUGCUUUUAUACAGGAAUAAAGUUAGCCACGUGUGGUUAUUUGUAGGUACUGUAUGAAUAAGGACCGGCUAAUUCCGUGCCAGCAGCCGCGGUAA